rnacentral:rRNA from 1 species
UACGUAGGGGGCAAGCGUUGUCCGGAUUUAUUGGGCGUAAAGAGCGUGUAGGCGGCCUGGAAGGUCAGCUGUGAAAACUCGAGGCUCAACCUCGAGACGUCGGUUGAAACCACCUGGCUAGAGUCCGGAAGAGGAGAAUGGAAUUCCCGGUGUAGCGGUGAAAUGCGCAGAUAUCGGGAGGAACACCGAUGGCGAAGGCAGGUCUCUGGGCAUUAACUGAUGCUGAGGAGCGAAAGCAUGGGGAGCGAACAGG